GACGAACGCUGGCGGCGUGCUUAACACAUGCAAGUCGAACGCUGAAGCUUGGUGCUUGCACUGGGUGGAUGAGUGGCGAACGGGUGAGUAAUACGUGAGUAACCUGCCCUUGACUCUGGGAUAAGCCUGGGAAACUGGGUCUAAUACUGGAUACGACACGUCACUGCAUGGUGGUGUGUGGAAAGGGUUUUACUGGUUUUGGAUGGGCUCACGGCCUAUCAGCUUGUUGGUGGGGUAAUGGCCUACCAAGGCGACGACGGGUAGCCGGCCUGAGAGGGUGACCGGCCACACUGGGACUGAGACACGGCCCAGACUCCUACGGGAGGCAGCAGUGGGGAAUAUUGCACAAUGGGCGGAAGCCUGAUGCAGCGACGCCGCGUGAGGGAUGACGGCCUUCGGGUUGUAAACCUCUUUCAGCACGGAAGAAGCGAGAGUGACGGUAC
rnacentral:rRNA from 1 species